rnacentral:lncRNA from 1 species
CAUGAGUAGUAUUAUGUUUGUGGACAAGUGCCACUAACAUCUAAGUGAAUUAACCUCAAAAACUUUGUGAUUCUUUCUUCUUUCCAAAAGAAUAAAGAUUCGAACAUUUCGCCUCUAUACAAUUUUAACAAGAAGGUAUUGGAUCCGGAUCUAACGAUCCAUAGCAUCCAUCUAUGACCAACUCGUAAUUUAUGAUUUAGAGGUAUCACAACUUAGUUGGGAUUAGUCACUACCAUGCACCCUUUUGGGUUUUAAGCAUCAUUAUAUUCUAAACAGUUAAUACUACCAUAUCAUCUCUACUAUAGAGACAAUCAAUUAGAUUACUAUAAUCCAAUCAUUGAUUAAUAAAGAACAA